GGGGCUGACUGGUUUUGACAGCAUUUGAAUGGAUAUGUAAGCAUGCCGGGUAAGGUAACAAUUCCCGUAAAACAAGGUUAUACCAAAUUUUAAUUGGCGAAAAUCAAUUUGCUCUCGCUGCUUAAUCGAAGUUUAGUAGAUUAGCUUCAUCCUUGGUCUAGGUUACCAGGGACGAGACGGUUCGCAGGUGGACAAGUCUGAUUCCGGCCUGAUAUCGAAUCGCAAGAAAUUUCGGACUGGUUCUGUUUAGCCUGGAGAACAGAACGAGACAUUACAGGCUAAGGCAAAAUUUUGGGUGUCCGUCCCCGUGUUUUGCCCUACAAUCAACGACAGAAUAAGCAUGUAGAAAGCUUACCUGUUUGGUGUUUGGACGAGGGUUCGACUCCCUCCAGCUCCACUU
rnacentral:tmRNA from 1 species